UACGGAGGACCCAAGCGUUGUUCGGAAUCACUGGGCGUAAAGCGUGCGUAGGAGGCGGGGAAAGUCUGAGGUGCAAUCCCACCGCUUAACGGGCGGACUGCAUGGGAAACUGCAUGGCUCGAGGGCCGGAGAGGUAGGAGGAAUUCCCGGUGUAGCGGUGAAAUGCGUAGAUAUCGGGAGGAACAUCGACGGCGAAGGCGGCCUUCUGGAAGGUUACUGACUCUGAGGCACGAAGGCCAGGGGAGCAAACGGG
rnacentral:rRNA from 1 species